GACGAACGCUGGCGGCGUGCUUAACACAUGCAAGUCGAACGGAAAGGCCCUGCUUUUGUGGGGUGCUCGAUUGGCGAACGGGUGCGUAACACGUGAGUAACCUGCCCUUGACUUUGGGGUAACUUCAGGAAACUGGGGGUACUACCGGACCGGAGCUCCUGCUGCAUGGUGGGGGUUGGAACGUUUCGGCGGUUGGGGAUGGACUCGCGGCUUAUCAGUUUGUUGGUGGGGUAGUGGCUUACCAAGGCUUUGACGGGUAGCCGGCCUGAGAGGGAGACCGGACACAUUGGGACUGAGAUAAGGCGCAGACUCGUACGGGAGGCAGCAGUGGGGAGUAUUGCACAAUGGGCGGAAGCCUGAUGCGGCGACGCCGCGUGCGGGAGGACGGCCUUCGGGGUGUAAACCGCGUUCGCCUGUGACGAAGCGUGAGUGACGGUAAUGGGUAAAGAAGCACCGGCUAACUCCGUG
rnacentral:rRNA from 1 species